UUCUCACCCUCUCACAUUCCCUCAUCCCCUCGUCCAAUCCAAUCGACCUGGGGGAACAGCCCUACCGACAGGCGACAGCGCCGCCUCCGGCGAAUCCCUUCAUCCUCUGCCUCGAUCGCUCCCUUUAUCGUCUGCCUCGAUCGCUCCCUCCCAUGUUGCCUCCUUGUCCCGCUGUUCUAUGCCGGCCGACGAAUUCCUCCAGCGCAUGCACACGGGAAAGAGAUCGCUUGGAGUAGAACUACCCUCGUACAAGAAUAGGCAGGAAAGGGGACGGUCACAUGAAGUUGUUGCCAUGUUGAACUGCCAGGCCACAGUUCACUCAGUCGCAGAUGAUGGCGAGGCGACAAGACGUACAGUGUGCCCAGCUCAUCCCAUGGUCGAUUGCGCUGGGGCGCUCAUGGUGGCGCUGGAAGGAUUCUCCUAGCCAAAUUUUAGCACAGAGGCGCCUUCCAGAGCACGUUGCCGCUAAUAGUGAUGUCCGGCGGCGCGAGGACAUGGUGAGGCUUCAACGAAUCAUCCAAGGCUUUGAAGGAUUAAAUCUGAGAACAUAAUUCUCGAAACGGGGGAGGUUCAAUUGGUGUUCCUGGAGAUGACAAGAAACAUCAUUCAAGGGAAGGAGGAUUCGUUGUGAGAGAGUCGGAUGCCGGCGCGGAUCCUCUCAAAGGACUCAUUGCAGCACCACAAAGACACAGGCAACGGUGCUACUGCUGAUGGUAGAGAGGAGAUCAAUGGCAAGGGAGGCAAGGGAGAAACUGAGGGUCAAAGAGGGUUUACAACUAAGUAUAAAGCUUCACGAGGACUCAUCUUCUUCGGAUGGAAGAUGAUCAGUUACUGAUAAGUUAUAAAAUUUCUAUAUUUCGGUGAUGGUAUCGACUAGGUGUUCUUUCAGAUUUGCUUCUAUCAUGCGUAUUAAAACACGUUCAGCUUAUGUAGAUGAUGCACGGAUACUGCAGUAAAAGUAAAUACUUUACCUGUAAACUGAACUUUUGAUUUAGUAAUUCUACUUUUGGUCCAACAAUCGAUCAAUUGUUGAGGCUAUACUGAACCAAAAAUUGCUUACUGGGGCAGUACUAUAGUCUCUUGAUUAUGCUCUUAAGUAAAUAUCAUGUCUUCCUCUAAUUAGAAAUUUAGAAAACAAUAGGUUAAUCAGAAGCUUUCUUACAAGAAGAGUGCUCUUCAGAAGCUACUACAUGUAUACGCUCACAUCACAUGCAUGUUUUGUUUUCUUAAUUUUCAGGUGCUUGUGAAUAUCUGCAGAAGUACAGUAGCCUGUAGCUUUGUAGGCGUUGAACUAAAUACCAAUCCAAGUAAGAGCGAAAGGAAGAUAAUAUAGGUUUUGAUCCGCCAAAAGGUCUAUUUAUUCUCAUUUCAGUUAAGACUUACCUCUAAACAUUGCAUGAACUCCUGCACAUAUUGGAUACUUUAUUGAUGCACCUUCUUGCAUUUUAAUUCCAUGUAAGUUGUGUACUCUAUUUAAUAAGUUAUUUGUAUUUUGGCUACAAAUGAUUUUAUUGGAUAUACUGUAGACAUUUUCCGCAAGGACUGUUGCAACUUGCUAGACAUAGGAAAAGAUGGGAGUCAAUCCAAGAUGACAUCAGCAACCAAAGGUGUUUGAUUUUCUUUCGGUGUGGAAAUUAUUAUGAUGAUCAUUCAUCAUAGAUGGGCAAAGAACUUGCCAGAUGUCUCAUACCUCUCAACACGGGCAUGAGCCUGAAACAUCAAUUUCGGCUCUGGAACAUCUCAUAUGCUCUGUGGUAUUCAAAAUGUCUUUGGAGCCCCAAUUUCUAAGCCAUAAAGUAUGGCACACUGAACUAUUGAGUAGUCAUCAGAACGUGCUUGCCAGAUGUUCACAACAUCCACAGACGACGCUAGACGGGUUGGCACAUCGAGCGGUGCAUCAAGGACAUAAGCCUUCUGUGCAGUAGUGAGGACAAUCCUUAGAUUACGGACCUAGUUCGCAUAAUUUCUUACAUUAUCUUUCAACUUAAUCUUCCUCUAGGAACGUAUUAAAGUUCAGGGGAGCUACUACGCUAGCUAUUGAUCUACAACAUAACUUGCAAAGACAACUAGACUAUGUUCAUUAUAAUUGCUUC